UGCCAGACUCCUACGGGAGGCAGCAGUGGGGAAUAUUGCACAUUGGGGGAAACCCUGAUGCAGCGACGCCGCGUGAGUGAAGAAGUAAUUCGUUAUGUAAAGCUCUCUCAGCAGGGAAGAAAAUGACGGUACCCGACUAAGAAGCCCCGGCUAACUACGUGCCAGCAGCCGCGGUAAUACGUAGGGGGCAAGCGUUAUCCGGAUUUACUGGGUGUAAAGGGAGCGUAGACGGCAUGGCAAGUCAGAUGUGAAAGCCCGGGGCUCAACCCCGGGACUGCAUUUGAAACUGUCAGGCUGGAGUGCAGGAGAGGUAAGUGGAAUUCCUAGUGUAGCGGUGAAAUGCGUAGAUAUUAGGAGGAACACCAGUGGCGAAGGCGGCUUACUGGACUGUAACUGACGUUGAGGCUCGAAAGCGUGGGGAGCAAACAGGAUUAGAUACCCCAGUAAAC
rnacentral:rRNA from 1 species